UACGUAGGGUGCAAGCGUUGUCCGGAAUUACUGGGCGUAAAGAGCUCGUAGGUGGUUUGUCGCGUUGUUCGUGAAAUCCCACGGCUUAACUGUGGGCGUGCGGGCGAUACGGGCAGACUGGAGUACUGCAGGGGAGACUGGAAUUCCUGGUGUAGCGGUGGAAUGCGCAGAUAUCAGGAGGAACACCGGUGGCGAAGGCGGGUCUCUGGGCAGUAACUGACGCUGAGGAGCGAAAGCGUGGGGAGCGAACAGG
rnacentral:rRNA from 1 species